rnacentral:rRNA from 1 species
AUUGAACGCUGGCGGCAGGCUUAACACAUGCAAGUCGAGCGCGCGGCGGACGGGGGAGUAAUGUAUGGGGACUGCACGAUAGAAGGGGAUACCUCCUGGAAACGGUAGCUAAUAUCGCACACAAUCGGAUAACCCAUAUGGGAUUAGCUAGUAGGUGAGGGAAUGGCUCACCCAGGCGACGAUCCCUAGCUGGUCUGAGAGGAGGAUCAGCCACACUGGGACUGAGACACGGCCCAGACUCCUACGGAGGCAGCAGUGGGGAAUAUUGCACAAUGGGCGCAAGCCUGAUGCAGCCAUGCCGCGUGUAUGAAGAAGGCCCUAGGGUUGUAAAGUACUUUCAGUCGGGAGGCGUUACCGACAGAAGAAGCACCGGCUAACUCCGUGCCAGCAGCCGCGGUAAUAC